AGUGGGAUAGCUGGUUCAAAUGGUGGUUCCAUUCCAAGUUUUCUGAGGAAUAUCCAUACUGCUUUCCAUAGUGGUUGCACCAAUUUUCAUCCCACCAGCAAU
rnacentral:pre_miRNA from 1 species